rnacentral:rRNA from 1 species
GAGUUUGAUCCUGGCUCAGAUUGAACGCUGGCGGCAUGCUUUACACAUGCAAGUCGAACGGUAGGGUAGCAAUACCUGAGAGUGGCGAACGGGUGAGUAAUGCAUCGGAACAUGCCUAUUUGUGGGGGAUAGCCCGGCGAAAGCCGGAUUAAUACCGCAUACGAUCUACGGAUGAAAGCUGGGGACCGCAAGGCCUAGCGCAAAUAGAGUGGCCGAUGUCAGAUUAGCUAGUUGGUGGGGUAAAGGCUCACCAAGGCAACGAUCUGUAGCUGGUUUGAGAGAACGACCAGCCACACUGGGACUGAGACACGGCCCAGACUCCUACGGGAGGCAGCAGUGGGGAAUUUUGGACAAUGGGCGCAAGCCUGAUCCAGCAAUGCCGCGUGCAGGAUGAAGGCCUUCGGGUUGUAAACUGCUUUUGUACGGAGCGAAAAGGCUUCUUCUAAUACAGGAGGCUCAUGACGGUAUCGUAAGAAUAAGCACCGGCUAACUACGUGCCAGCAGCCGCGGUAAUACGUAGGGUGCAAGCGUUAAUCGGAAUUACUGGGCGUAAAGCGUGCGCAGGCGGUGAUGUAAGACAGAGGUGAAAUCCCCGGGCUCAACCUGGGAACUGCCUUUGUGACUGCAUCGCUAGAGUACGGUAGAGGGGGGUGGAAUUCCGCGUGUAGCAGUGAAAUGCGUAGAUAUGCGGAGGA